CGCACACAGGCAGAGAGGAGGUAGCCACAAAGUGCUCCUCAAAUUCGACAAGAAUGUCUAUAAAUCAACAUUUUUCCAUCAAAAAAAAAUAAAAACUCAAUCUGAGGUCAAGAAGAGACCGAGGCAAUCCCAGCAAGGGUGGAGAAGGCUAAAAACUUAAAAUGGCAGACGAGAAGGAGCAUUCUUGCCAAAAUGGAAGGGCAGACUCCCGCCAUCCAUAGGUGCCUACGAGCCUGUUGACUACUUCCGCUUCCUUCUUCGGAGAGAGACUAUCGAGAACAUGGUUGACCAAAGUAACCUCUACACUAUUCAAAGCGACUCCACUAAACCCCUGAACGUAACCUAUGAAGAAAUUGAGUAAUUUAUAGGUAUAUGUUUCCAUAUGUCUGUACAUGGCCUACCUCAGACCCGUCUCUACUGGAACAAGAAGACACGUGUUGAUUGUGUGGCAAAUACGAUGCCAGUGAACAGAUGAGAGACUAUCAAGCGAUUCCUUCACAUUGCUGACAAUCACACCCAGGUUCCAGCAGGACAUCCUGGUCAUGAUAAGUUAUUCAAGGUGAGGCCACUUCUCAACUCACUGCUGGCAAUCUUCAAGAACAUCCCCAUGGAUGAGAUGCUGUGUGGAUGAGCAGAUGAUACCUUUCAAGGGCAAAAGCAUAAUCAGGCAAUACCUUCCAAAGAAACCAAAACGCUGGGGGUGCAAGUUGUUUGUGCUGGCAGACUAACAUGGGAUUGUCUACAACUUCGACUUCUACACUGGCACCAUUCUGCCAGUAGAUGGGAGUCCAGAUAUUAGUGCAAGUGGCAACAUCGUGCUGCAGCUGGCUUCCAUCAUCCCGGUGAAAAUGUUCCACAAGAUAUUUUAUGACAACUGGUUCACAAGUGUGGAUCUUCAAGUUGUCCUGGAGAAGGCAAAGAUCCACAGUGUGGGUACGGUAAGACAGAACCGUCUAGCUGACUGCACCUUCAUGCCCGACAAGAUGAAAAAAAAAGCACGAGGAACCUAUGAGGUAAAACAGAACACACGUCAAGGUGUGACCCUCAAGGCAUUGAAGUGGUUUGACAACCGGCCAGUGACAUUACUGAGCACCUUCACUGGAGCCAACCCCAUCACCCAAGUUCAGAGGUGGGUCAUAUCACUAUCUAUCUUGGUAGACAUGGGCGUGCCUCUGUCUUGUGUAGUCUUCAUAAAUACAAUUCUGUAUCCUGCUACGACACUGGUGUAUAGGCGAGUGACUACGUGCUGUAGAUAUUCAGAGUUUUAUGUGUAUGUUAGGACCUUAAAACUGAUAGGUGUUCAAUGGUAAGAGUCAAAGAGGAAUAGCAAGCUAAAGCGAAUGCAGUUUAUUGUUCAGUAUGUUAAUAAUAGCAAUAUACAAUGGAGCAAAAUGCUUGCAUAGUGAUAUGGCUAUAUUCAUAUGAUGCGUUUGAGACUGUGUUGACGAGUCUCCCUGAACAAUUCCAUGUUUCCCCUUAUAUACCUGAAAGGUAAAAGCAAAACACCAAGUCAUGAAAUAAAGACACAGUCAAGAAAGUA